GCCGCCGCCGCCGCGGGGUCCGGCCGGUGCCGCGGCGCUCGAGCCGGGCUUCCGGCAGAGCGAAGCGGCCGGGUUUGAGAGACCCCCGGGUUGCACUGCAGCAGGGAAGCUUGUGCUGGGACUGCAGUGUCUGCGCUGCCUGAGGCUGCCAUGUGCUGCAGGGGCUGGUCUGGGACAACGGAGCUGCUGCCGAGCGUUGCCUGCUGGGAUCAAGACUGUGGUUGCAGCUGCUGAGGAAGGCGGUGGAUUUUACUCUGCCUCCAUCAACAAGCGCUGGCUGGCAAAGUUACAUCAUGUCCCAACGGAGACUCUUAGGCAAGACGGAGGAGUUCAGGCAUUCAGAACAUUGGGGAAUGACUAUGUGCUGCCGUGA
rnacentral:lncRNA from 1 species